rnacentral:rRNA from 1 species
AGUGAACGCUGGCGGCAGGCCUAACACAUGCAAGUCGAGCGGCAGCGGGAAGUAGCUUGCUACUUUGCCGGCGAGCGGCGGACGGGUGAGUAAUGUCUGGGAAACUGCCUGAUGGAGGGGGAUAACUACUGGAAACGGUAGCUAAUACCGCAUAACGUCGCAAGACCAAAGAGGGGGACCUUCGGGCCUCUUGCCAUCAGAUGUGCCCAGAUGGGAUUAGCUAGUAGGUGGGGUAACGGCUCACCUAGGCAACGAUCCCUAGCUGGUCUGAGAGGAUGACCAGCCACACUGGAACUGAGACACGGUCCAGACUCCUACGGGAGGCAGCAGUGGGGAAUAUUGCACAAUGGGCGCAAGCCUGAUGCAGCCAUGCCGCGUGUAUGAAGGAGGCCUUCGGGUUGUAAAGUACUUUCAGCGGGGAGGAAGGUGUUGAGGUUAAUAACCUCAGCAAUUGACGUUACCCGCAGAAGAAGCACCGGCUAACUCCGUGCCAGCCGCCGCAGUAA